CCGUUACGCUCUUGCGCGUGCGCACUGAAGUCAAAUAGCUGCUUCCUCCCGCUGCUCUUCUUCCCUCCCCCCAUAUCCGUGCGCCAAGUAGAUAAAGGCGCCAUUUUGGAGGGGCCGCGGGAGCCGAGGUGUCGCUGCAGGUUCGCUCUGCCGUGCGCUAGGCUUGGUGGGAAGGCCUGUUCUCGCGUCCGCGCUUUUCGUCGUCGCCAUGUCCGGAGGUGGUGUGAUUCGUGGCCCGGCAGGGAACAACGAUUGUCGCAUCUACGUGGGUAACUUACCUCCAGACAUUCGAACCAAGGACAUUGAGGACGUGUUCUACAAAUACGGCGCUAUCCGCGACAUCGAUCUCAAGAAUCGCCGCGGAGGACCACCCUUCGCCUUCGUUGAGUUCGAGGACCCGCGAGACGCGGAAGACGCGGUGUAUGGUCGCGACGGCUACGAUUACGAUGGAUACCGUCUGCGGGUCGAGUUUCCUCGAAGCGGCCGCGGUACCGGCCGAGGCGGCGGCGGGGGUGGAGGUGGCGGAGCACCCCGAGGGCGCUAUGGCCCCCCAUCCAGGCGAUCUGAGAACAGAGUGGUUGUCUCUGGACUGCCUCCAAGUGGAAGCUGGCAGGAUUUGAAGGAUCACAUGCGUGAAGCAGGUGAUGUAUGUUAUGCUGAUGUUUACCGAGAUGGCACUGGUGUCGUGGAGUUUGUACGGAAAGAAGAUAUGACCUAUGCAGUUCGAAAACUGGAUAACACUAAGUUUAGAUCUCAUGAGGGAGAAACUGCCUACAUCCGGGUUAAAGUUGAUGGGCCCAGAAAUCCAGGUUAUGGAAGAUCUCGAUCUCGAAGCCGUAGUCGUAGCAGAAGCCGUAGCAGAAGCAACAGCAGGAGUCGCAGUUACUCCCCAAGGAGAAGCAGAGGAUCACCACGCUAUUCUCCCCGUCAUAGCAGAUCUCGCUCUCACAUAUCUGAAGAGAUGGAUUAAGAAUGCUUUGGAUUAAGGAUUGUGGAGCACAUUUCAAUCAUUUUAGGAUUGUCAAAAGGAGGAUUGAGGAGGAUCAGAUCAAUAAUGGAGGCAAUGGUAUGACUCCAAGUGCUAUUGUCACAGAUGAAAUUGGCAGUAUUGACCUUAUACUAAAAGGCAAGCGUUAAAAAUGAUAUAUAUGCAUCUACCUUAAAACACGUGGCAAACAUCUUAUGCAGUUAUCUUUACCUACAAUUGCUCUGCUCUUUAAACCUUGGCAAUUGUGGAAAAAUUAUAUUGCCCAUUUGUAACAGUUUAUUUUGCUCCCUUCCCCCCUUUUUUGUUUUAAUAGGGACUAAUGUGGGAAGAACUGGCUAAUUUGUCACAGUGCUUAGUUACAACUGUUAAUGUGUGACCUGCUGUUGGUGUACAUGUGGGUACAGGGUGUCUUUAAUUCCAACCAGAUAGAGUAUAAUAUCAAUACUGCUAAAUCUGCAUGUCCUCUGUGUGACUGAUAUAGCGUUGCUAUUUCAUUUUUUUAAGACAAAAUGAAAGCAAAUUAUAGAAUUCCAACAUAUUGGUGUAGAUAAUCUAGUUGGGAAUAUACUUUUAAGUAUCAUCUUCCCCUUUAAACUUAUAUUCAUAAUUGACUCAUGUUUAAAACACUUUAAUUUACAAAUUAAAUUGCAGAUGGGAGCAUUAGAUUUAGUUUAGACUUAGGUGGGUAACAAUACCAGUAUACUUUUCAAAUACAUAACUUUUUGCAACCACAAAACCUGUAAUAACGCUGUACAGUAACAAGUGUUGGCAUUAUCAGUUGAACUGUAAAUAUAAAAUGCUUCUUCCAAUUAGUCUCUAUGAUGAUUAAGUUUCUAAAGUUUAUCUGAACACCAUUCAGAAACUUGUUUUGGGGAAUUUGAUAGUUAUUGAUGUACAUCUGUUAAACUGAUGACAGACAUAACUCAUCAUUCCCCAGAAACCUUUUUUGAUUACAGUAUCUAACAUUUUGCCUCCUCUUUUUUGGUUUUGCUGGUUAUAAAGGUUUGGAUUGGAGAGGGCUCACUGGAUCCCAAUCCUUGGAGCUGGAUCAUUGGAUUCAAAUCAUAAUGUGGAUAGGAUAGGGAGGAUGAAUUACAAGGAUUCAUGGAGCGGGAUCAGAUUACCAGGAACAUAGGAGUGGAUUCCUGCCCCAACCAAACCGCAUUCGUGUGGAUUUUUUUUUUUUUAUUCAACUUAAUUGGCUAUUCCAAAGAUUUUUUUUCUUCCUAUUUUUGACGAUUGGAGCCCUUAAGAUGCACGAUGGAAUUGUGUUUUGCAUUUUUUGGUAAAAGGAGCAAAGCGAGGACCUGGAGAUAUACGCUGGAGCAAUCUCCUUGGAAGGAUUCAGCACGAGUAGAUGAUUGAGUAACCCAUCUUGCUGUUCAGCCCACAUGCUGGAAACAAAAGAUCUUAGGAGAAAAUGCUGAAGACAUGGAUCUGCUUGUUUUCUGCCACCCUGUACAUCUUCAGGUAUGGAAUAGUAAGGCCCUAGAGUGUAAGAAUUGGGUGGAAUAGAUAUGCUGGGGGGCGGGGGGAGAGUCUUGGAAUAAAAUUGGUCAUAUACUACCAAAAAAAAAUGAAUAUGCUUUCAGAAGCCUUUAGUUUUUAUGGCGUGAAACAGUUUCUGGAGUGACCUUAUUUCUUGGCAUUAAUUGUUACUGUCUUUAAGAACCUGCAAGUCAGGUUGGCUGUUUAUGUUUUCCUGUUUUCUGGGCCUUAUGUAAGUAGGCACAGAGUAGUAUCUUUUGAUCAAAAAGUAUAUUUUUCUCUUGAUGUGUUUACUUAGUGCCAUUUUAUUUUAUUUUAAAGUUGAAAAUUAUUGGGGAGUAGUACUUAAGCAUUUGUCAUUCAUAUCUCCCCCAACUUUACAUUGCAAAAAUGUAAAGGAAACAAAUUUCAACUUGCCUCCUGUUUAAAUUGUCACUAAGAAUACUGUAUUAGUUUCUUAGCCUUACUUGGUCUAAAUUAGCAAGUAGUACUGAAGAAAUUACCUCUGAAAAUUUUUGGCACACCCAUCAAACAAUCAUUCCCUUGCAUGUUGACACAGACUUUAUGUAUGUGCUCUAGUAUAGCAUAUGUCACCUGGCUGGCUUUCUCUGUCCAUCUACCUCAACUUUCUUGGUUCAUGAAUUUUUAUUUUCUAAGGAAUAAAAGCAGUAUGUGGCACAUGAUAAAUACUUAAUUGAAAAAGUACCAUUGGUCCUUAGUGUUACCAUACAUCUGUCUUCUAACAGUUUAUAACCUCUCAUACGCUUUCCUCCUAGGUAUGUAGCACAGUGCUAUUAUACUGAGUAGACACUUAAAAGAUGAAUUACUAAAUUGGAAGAGAAACCUAGAAAAUUGAAUUCCUUUUCUGAGUAUCUUAAAUUGGGUGAGGAACCUUUUUCUUUCUUCCAGGGGCCAUUUAAAACAUCAUUCCCGGGCCGUACAAAUUACCAACUUAAAAAUUAGCCUAUAUUUGGUCAAACAUUUAAUUAACUUACCCCUAAUGCCUUAGCAGGACCAGACCAAAUGAUUUUUCGGGUCAAACUUGUACCCCACCUGUCUUAAAUAAAGAACCAGUAAAUGUAGGUCUCAAUUUUAAGUUGGGACUAAAUCCCUAUACAAGUUAUACUUACUGUGCAAUAGAACUAAAUAUUUAGAACAUUUUCCAUAUUGUGAUCUAGAGUGUUUUUUUUUUUAAGACAUUAAAAAAUUUUUUUGUAUCACUAAUUCUUGGCCACAGUACCAUUGUAUCUAACUUAAGCUAGACUAUAGAGAUGUGUUUUCUUGUCAAAUGGAAUUCUUUAAAAUCCUGUUUGGAUUUGUCCUCCAUCUCCAUUUGCCAUAUCAGCAUCCUUGUCUGUGCAUCCACAUUUAUUACUAAAAUGUCUUACCUUAUUUCACUGACUCCAGUCUCUAUCCUGGCCAUUAAGUCUGAUCUUCCUAAAACAUGUCACUUCACCUAAUAUGAAUCAAUGGAUUAUAGUCUACCUUUUAAAUUUAUCACUAUUCUCAAUCACAUCUUCCCCUGAUCUGAUUGAUCUGGCAAAUACUGACCAUGCUUGUUUUUGCUUCUGUACUUACAUUUUCAGACUUCUUCCUUCCCCCCACUUUAGCAGUCACCUGCAGCUUUAAAUCCUGGUCAUCCUCAAAGUUCAUUUCUGCAACUAUGAAAAAUAAGCUGCUAAACCCAAAUAAUAGCUGUCUUCUCUGAUGCAUUUAGUCUCUUCACAAUUUAUUACUGUGGAAUGUUUUGUGUUAAUUUUUCAUGCCCUAUGGAAUUUUUGUAAUAUUUGUAUUUCCCAAUGAGCCAAAUGCAAUGCUGUCAGUUUAAUAAAUGUUGAUUGAACAAGA